UGUUGGCCUUGGUCCCUUGGCUGCCUCGAUGCAGCCUCCGCUGGAGGGGUCUUCAGGGCUUCUUCUGCAGUGAUUGAGAAGGCAGACUGGGACCGCUGUGGAAAGAAAAGAGGGGAAGGGGUGAGCUCAUAAGUACAACACCUGGGAGGUAUGCCUUCACCUUUUGGGGGCAGACGUUGUACAGCAUGGAGAAAACAUGUUUAAUGGUAAUGGCUCUUUUCAUGUGAGCCUUAAAAGCUGCAAAUCAGUGUAUAAUGCCAGGUAAUGGUACAAAUGUUUAUUCCCUUGCAAGUCAGCCAGGCCUAGUAGAAUGAAUGAGAUGUAGUGGAAUUUUAUGGGGCCAGCUCUCAUACGGCUCUUUCUUAUCCACCCCUCUUGCGGCCAAUAUUUCUCAGGGCCAACUGUGCGUGAUGAGUUGCUCUCGAGUGUGCAAAAUGGAAAGCAUCUCCUCCUCAAAGAUCUCCAAACCUGAAGAGAUCCCAGAGCAAGGGAGUAAGAGAAAGAAAGAAAAAGGAGCCCAUUGUCAUCUACACUUACAUCCUGGAGAGCAAGGUUUGACUUGGAGGAGAGCCAAGCUAACACACAAGUGCAGUGGCUUUUGGCUGAGUGUCAUCUCUUUCAUUCUGAGGGCAUAGCAAGCACUGACCCUGCCCCGAGUGUCCAGAGCAGUUUGGAUGAUGCAGCUUGACAACACCCAAGGUGUUCAUGGGGCUGGGAAUUCACAGCCAUUCUGUGAUUUUGCUAAAUAUCUGCCAGAAAAUGAGCAGCUUUCAGAGAAGACAGAGAUUGAGGAUGAUGGUCAACUGGCCAGUGAAGUUAUUAAAAACGAAGGAAAACAUCAUUCUCUGGCAAACUUCCACGUAUCAAGAGGGACACACCCUUGGCCCUGGUGUACAUUGGGAUUGGCUAGGUUUCUCCUCCUGUGUGAUAACACAGCUCUGUCCACACCGUUAUAGUUGUGCACUGACUUGCUGUGUCUUCCACACACAAUGAACUCCAUGAGGGCAGGGAUGGCCUUUUGUUUGAGAUCCUUGGUUGCAUGUUUGUGACUGAAUUUAUAGGCUCUAAGACACAGUGCUGGCCCUUAUGAAGCUGACAGUCUAGUUGCCAGAUGCAGUAUUAUUACAGCCUCACAGAAGCCAUUUACUGUAUCUAGCCUUUAAAAAAUAUCUAUAAGCUUCUCACUGUAAAUCACUGAAUACAAGUUUGGGGGGAAACAAUACUUAAUAUUUCA